UGGGGAAUUUUGGACAAUGGGCGCAAGCCUGAUCCAGCCAUGCCGCGUGCGGGAAGAAGGCCUUCGGGUUGUAAACCGCUUUUGUCAGGGAAGAAAUCUUCUGAGUUAAUACCUCGGGAGGAUGACGGUACCUGAAGAAUAAGCACCGGCUAACUACGUGCCAGCAGCCGCGGUAAUACGUAGGGUGCAAGCGUUAAUCGGAAUUACUGGGCGUAAAGCGUGCGCAGGCGGUUUUGUAAGACAGAGGUGAAAUCCCCGGGCUCAACCUGGGAACUGCCUUUGUGACUGCAAGGCUUGAGCGCGGCAGAGGGGGAUGGAAUUCCGCGUGUAGCAGUGAAAUGCGUAGAUAUGCGGAGGAACACCGAUGGCGAAGGCAAUCCCCUGGGCCUGCACUGACGCUCAUGCACGAAAGCGUGGGGAGCAAAACAGGAUUAGAUACCCUGGUAGUCCACGCCCUAAAACGAUGUCAACUGGUUGUUGGGAAGGUUCCUUCUCAGUAACGUAGCUAACGCGU
rnacentral:rRNA from 1 species